rnacentral:rRNA from 1 species
UGCGUAGGGUGCGAGCGUUAAUCGGAAUUACUGGGCGUAAAGCGUGCGCAGGCGGUUCGCUAAGACAGAUGUGAAAUCCCCGGGCUUAACCUGGGAACUGCAUUUGUGACUGGCGGGCUAGAGUAUGGCAGAGGGGGGUAGAAUUCCACGUGUAGCAGUGAAAUGCGUAGAGAUGUGGAGGAAUACCGAUGGCGAAGGCAGCCCCCUGGGCCAAUACUGACGCUCAUGCACGAAAGCGUGGGGAGCAAACAGG